GAUGAACGCUGGCGGCGUGCCUAAUAAAUGCAAGUCGAGCGAACGGACGAGAAGCUUGCUUCUCUGAUGUUAGCGGCGGACGGGUGAGUAACACGUGGAUAACCUACCUAUAAGACUGGGAUAACUUCGGGAAACCGGAGCUAAUACCGGAUAAUAUUUUGAACCGCAUGGUUCAAAAGUGAAAGACGGUCUUGCUGUCACUUAUAGAUGGAUCCGCGCUGCAUUAGCUAGUUGGUAAGGUAACGGCUUACCAAGGCAACGAUGCAUAGCCGACCUGAGAGGGUGAUCGGCCACACUGGAACUGAGACACGGUCCAGACUCCUACGGGAGGCAGCAGUAGGGAAUCUUCCGCAAUGGGCGAAAGCCUGACGGAGCAACGCCGCGUGAGUGAUGAAGGUCUUCGGAUCGUAAAACUCUGUUAUUAGGGAAGAACAUAUGUGUAAGUAACUGUGCACAUCUUGACGGUACCUAAUCAGAAAGCCACGGCUAACUACGUG
rnacentral:rRNA from 1 species